GCGUCUGUAGUGCAACGGUUCAGCACGCUCGCGGAAAGAGUGAGACCUGGGUUCGAAUCCCAGCUGACGCG